rnacentral:rRNA from 1 species
GGGUCAGUAGGUUGGUCGUGCCACCGGUACGUACUGGUCUCACUGAUUCCUCCUUCCUGAAGAACCGUAAUGCCAUUAAUUUGGUGUUGCGGGGAAACAGGACUGUUAUUUUGAAAAAAUUAGAGUGUUUAAAGCAAGUUAACGCUUGGAUACAUUAGCAUGGAAUAAUGAAAUAGGACGAUCGAUCCUAUUUUGUUGGUUUCUAGGAUUGACGUA